CAGUCGAACGGGAUCUUCGGAUUCUAGUGGCGGACGGGUGAGUAACGCGUAAGAAUCUAACUUCAGGACGGGGACAACAGUUGGAAACGACUGCUAAUACCCGAUAUGCCGCGAGGUGAAACCUAAUUGGCCUGAAGAAGAGCUUGCGUCUGAUUAGCUAGUUGGUGGGGUAAGAGCCUACCAAGGCGACGAUCAGUAGCUGGUCUGAGAGGAUGAGCAGCCACACUGGGACUGAGACACGGCCCAGACUCCUACGGGAGGCAGCAGUGGGGAAUUUUCCGCAAUGGGCGAAAGCCUGACGGAGCAACGCCGCGUGAGGGAGGAAGGUCUUUGGAUUGUAAACCUCUUUUCUCAAGGAAGAAGUUCUGACGGUACUUGAGGAAUCAGCCUCGGCUAACUCCGUGCCAGCAGCCGCGGUAAUACGGGGGAGGCAAGCGUUAUCCGGAAUUAUUGGGCGUAAAGCGUCCGCAGGUGGUCAGCCAAGUCUGCUGUCAAAUCAGGUUGCUUAACGACCUAAAGGCGGUGGAAACUGGCAGACUAGAGAGCAGUAGGGGUAGCAGGAAUUCCCAGUGUAGCGGUGAAAUGCGUAGAGAUUGGGAAGAACAUCGGUGGCGAAAGCGUGCUACUGGGCUGUAUCUGACACUCAGGGACGAAAGCUAGGGGAGCGAAAGGGAUUAGAUACCCCUGUAGUCCUAGCCGUAAACGAUGGAUACUAGGCGUGGCUUGUAUCGACCCGAGCCGUGCCGAAGCUAACGCGUUAAGUAUCCCGCCUGGGGAGUACGCACGCAAGUGUGAAACUCAAAGGAAUUGACGG
rnacentral:rRNA from 1 species